AAAGAUUUAAGUUAACAAAAACUAGUAGCCUUCAAAGUUAAAAUUAGAAUAUUUCUAAUCUUUA
rnacentral:tRNA from 1 species